rnacentral:rRNA from 1 species
AACGCGAAGAACCUUACCAGGGCUUGACAUGUACCGGAAAGCGGCGGAAACGUCGUCCUCCCGCAAGGGACCGGUAUGCAGGUGUUGCAUGGCUGUCGUCAGCUCGUGUCGUGAGAUGUUGGGUUAAGUCCCGCAACGAGCGCAACCCUCGUGGCAUGUUGUAUCACUCAUGCCAGACUGCCGAGAGAAACUCGGAGGAAGGUGGGGAUGACGCCAAGUCAUCAUGCCCCUUACGUCCUGGGCUACACACGUGCUACAUUGGCCGGUACAAAGGGCUGCAAACCCGUGAGGGGGAGCGAAUCCCAAAAAGCCGGUCCCGGUUCGGAUUGGAGGCUGAAACUCGCCUCCAUGAAGGCGGAGUUGCUAGUAAUCGCGGAUCAGCAAUGCCGCGGUGAAUACGUUCCCGGGCCUUGUACACACCG